rnacentral:lncRNA from 1 species
AAUAAGCAAGCAAUGAACUAAUCAAUAUGCCUAACAAGCUACGAGGUACCUAUGCAGUCGAUUGUUCUGCUAAUUCUUUAGGACAAUAGAAUGCAAAAAAGUUCCCUGACAUCGUUUUACUACUAGUUAUCAAGUCAACCUGCUGGGCAACAGCUCCAAUGUCAUGAUGCACCAUGAGCAACCAGACGAAGGUGAGGAGCUCUCCUCCUCUGCCUAGCUGCUGAGCGUGCAGCUCCACUUGGCACUUGCCAGCAACAUAAAUGAGAAGCCUCAUCCACAUAUCUCUAAUCUCCACCAGCGUCUCGAGCCAUGCCCGAGGCUCCUCCUGCUCUGUGAGGCAUUCCUCAUAACCAAACUCCAGGUGAUCUUCCACUAGCUGGUAACAAGUCCCCAGAACAUCCUGUUUUCUGCUGCCUUUGUUGAUGAUCUUCUCAUAGAAUGAUGCUAUCGUGUCCUGUGCAGAACCACUCAGUGGCAACAUGGAAGGCUGCAUAACCAAGAGGUAGGCUAUGUAAUUGGAUAUCUUUCUGCAUGUGUCCAUGAUAUCAGCGGUACUGGUUGAUGUUGCCUCGCUACCAAUGACAUUUAAGUCAGGUUGUUUUCGCAAAUGCAGGUCAGUGUAUAUAUGCAGGAGAACAAUGUUAUUACCAAAUG